rnacentral:lncRNA from 1 species
CAUCCCCACUGCAUCCUUGGGAACUGCAUGCUUGGGGGACAAGUGGGCUCUCAGCCCCCACCUCCACUCCCACUCCCUGGCGCUUUGCGACCUCCUCAUGGGUGACAGCAAGUUCCAUGUCACAAAGACGGCCAUCCGGGUACUUGGCUGUUCCUUGGAGGACUGCACAGACCCAGGGGAACGGGGCUUCCCGCCUCGACCGUGAGGAGCAGGAGGAGGCUCAGAGCCCCGGACGGGGGAGCCGGCCACGCCCUGGAAUCGUCGCGGAUUCUUUCUGACGUUAGGCCAAACUUGCAGACCUUGACGGCAGCGUUGGGGACACUCCAAGAGCAGGGCUCUGAGUAUUUCCCGCAAACCACAUUCCACAGAGUCACCUCUGAAGCCCCUGAGGGGCGUGCUUCACCCUUCACUUCUGAGAACCCUCCUCCUCUCCAAGGACAGCAGAUCCUCUUUCAUCUGCUUUAGGUAUUGGAGUUCCUCGUUGGAUUUCAUGUCAGGAAGAGCUCCGCCACCAGGAAAAGCUUGAAAGCCUUUGCCUAGAUGGGAUCCAAGGUCGCUGACCUCAAUAUGAAGGUGACCCAGGGCACCCUGGCUCUUCCUGGGAACCCAGUCAGCCCCAGGGAAGCGCCCCAGGCUUAUGAGGCUCAGAGAGGCUGCCCUCCCAGCCCCCACCAGUAGGAUGGCAGCUCAUAGCACAGCCGAGUGAAAGCUGUGAUUUUCAUUUUUAAAAGCUUAAGAAAAAAUGCACAGGGAGCAAAUGUACAGGAACUUCUGCUAAGGACCUGCUAUGUUAACUGCAGAUCGUCUUCUCAUGAGCCCUGAAAAUGGAUCCUGGGAGCACAUGACAAAAACCCCAUACAUCUAACCAUAAGUUGGUAUUCUAAGAGUGUCCCCCGCUCCCCUGCAAGGAUGCUCCCCACCACUAUUCUUGGGUUCUUGCUUCGGUGGCUAAGGAGUCAGGCUAUGGAGGGGUCAGGGGUGACCCACUUUGGUCCUGGUUUUUUUAAAGAUUUUAUUUAUUUAUUUGAGAGAAAGGAGCCCAAUGCCAGAGCUUGAUUCCAGGGCCUGAGGAUAAUGACCUGAGCCAAAGGCAGACACUUAACUGAGCCACCCAGGUACCCCUUGGUCUUAAUUUACCAAGGAUGAGGUAUAGAAGUUCACCCAGGACAAAGCCAGGCCUAAGAGAAGGAUAUUCUCUAGGCUCAGAUUAGGAAUCUCAGACCCAGGGAGAGACAGUUCCAGGACACUACAGCCCCGGAUGGUAUCCCAGGGUCAUUAGGUCCCUGGGUCCUCUUUCCUGGGGUUCCGCCCUGAGUCCAGUCCGAAGCCUCAUGUGUUAGCAUAAUCGGAAACACAGUCCCUGCCGGGCUGGACAGAGCAGCGUUCACAGAUCACUGCCCUGAAGAAGUUGAUGAAAGGCAACUGCGCCACAAGCAAACUCCCUGUCACUCCCCAGGGCCUGCAGCGCUCCAGGACUCCCAGAGAUUGACACCCUAGCCGCUCAGACCCCCAACAUGCUCUCUUUCUUUCCGCCUCGUCCAUGUCACUCUUUUGAAGCUCUGCUCCUAUUCCAUGACCACUUAGAUCUUAAUAGCCUUCUCUCGCAUGUCCCCUCCUUCCUUCCAAAUGAGAAGCAGGUAUAAAUGCUGGGUCUGCAUUUGUCAAAACCAACGGGAAGGUGGGAUACAUGUCUGGGAGGGCUGAUGAGAGAGAGGGAGAGGGGGAGGGAGAGACGGAUGACACUCUAGGGCUGGAGCUUACAUACUCUAAGGGAGGGGGGAGAAGAGGUGUGCCGGGUUUAUAAGGUAGUGGAGAGGUGGGCUGGGGUCCCCGCACAUCCCCAAGGCCAGGGCACUGUGGGGCCAGGGCUCAGAGGCUCCUCACAGCUGGAGUACAGUCACUCACUACCUUCACCUGACAGCACCAACUUGGGGCUAUUUCCCCCCUUUCCUGUUACUCCUGGAUGGCAAAUAUAGGUGGAUAUAUUGUACUAUGCGAGCACUCAAGGCGUGUGCAUGUGAGCAUGUAUGUGUGUGUACCCUUACGAUCAAAACGUAUCCUCUGUCGUUAAAACAAGUAAAAUAAAAACAGUAUUAAUUAUGUUUUGGAUUGAUUC